rnacentral:rRNA from 1 species
UUGCAGUUAAAAAGCUCGUAGUUGGAUUUCUGGCAGGGGUUGAGAGCCCGCACGCAGCGUGUGCUUUAUAACCCCUACCAUCCUUCUGUUAAACUGUCGGGUCUUCACCGACCCGGCAGCGGCUCAGAUAAUUUACCUUGAGAAAAUUAGAGUGUUUCAGGCAGGCCGACGCCGGGAUACAUUAGCAUGGAAUAAUAGAAUAGGACUGUCGCCUCUUCUGUUGGUCUGAGGGGUGGCCGUAAUGAUUAAUAGGGAUAGUUGGGGGCAUUAGUACUUAACUGUCAGAGGUGAAAUUCUCGGAUUUGUUAAAGACUAACUUAUGCGAAAGCAUUUGCCAAGGAUGUUUUCAUUAAUCAAGAACGAAAGUUAGGGGAUCAAAGACGAUCAGAUACCGUCCUAGUCUUAACCAUAAACUAUGCCGACUCGGGAUUGGAGGCAGGAGUUGUCCGCCCUUCAGCACCGUAUGAGAAAUCGAAGUCUUUGGGUUCUGGGGGGAGUAUGGUCGCAAAGCUGAAACUUAAAGGAAU